rnacentral:rRNA from 1 species
UACGGGAGGCAGCAGUGGGGAAUAUUGCACAAUGGGCGCAAGCCUGAUGCAGCCAUGCCGCGUGUAUGAAGAAGGCCUUCGGGUUGUAAAGUACUUUCAGUCGUGAGGAAGGUGUUAAGGUUAAUAACCUUAGCAAUUGACGUUAGCGACAGAAGAAGCACCGGCUAACUCCGUGCCAGCAGCCGCGGUAAUACGGAGGGUGCGAGCGUUAAUCGGAAUUACUGGGCGUAAAGGGCACGCAGGCGGUUAAUUAAGUUGGAUGUGAAAUCCCCGGGCUUAACCUGGGAAUGGCAUUCAAGACUGGUUAGCUAGAGUCUUGUAGAGGGGGUAGAAUUCCAUGUGUAGCGGUGAAAUGCGUAGAGAUGUGGAGGAAUACCGGGUGGCGAAGGCGGCCCCUGGACAAAGACUGACGCUCAUGUGCGAAAGCGUGGGGAGCGAAACAGGAUUAGAUACC